GCACAAGCGGUGGAGCAUGUGGCUUAAUUCGACGCAACGCGAAGAACCUUACCAAGGCUUGACAUACACCGGAAAGCAUUAGAGAUAGUGCCCCCCUUGUGGUCGGUGUACAGGUGGUGCAUGGCUGUCGUCAGCUCGUGUCGUGAGAUGUUGGGUUAAGUCCCGCAACGAGCGCAACCCUUGUCCCGUGUUGCCAGCAGGCCCUUGUGGUGCUGGGGACUCACGGGAGACCGCCGGGGUCAACUCGGAGGAAGGUGGGGACGACGUCAAGUCAUCAUGCCCCUUAUGUCUUGGGCUGCACACGUGCUACAAUGGCCGGUACAAUGAGCUGCGAUACCGUAAGGUGGAGCGAAUCUCAAAAAGCCGGUCUCAGUUCGGAUUGGGGUCUGCAACUCGACCCCAUGAAGUCGGAGUCGCUAGUAAUCGCAGAUCAGCAUUGCUGCGGUGAAUACGUUCCCGGGC
rnacentral:rRNA from 1 species